rnacentral:lncRNA from 1 species
AUGCAACCAUUUAGUCUAAACUUAGCUUAUUUGAUACAGUAAGAUGCAUUCAGGGGCUCCUUUUUUUAAGAGACUUUUAAAAAAAUCCUAAUUUUUUAAUCUUGAAUCAGUAUGAUCAGGUAUUUGGGAUUUACUUCAUCUUAAAUGGAAAUACUGCAUUUUUAUAGGUCCUCAGAUUGUUGGAUGGGAUGGGAUUUUCAUUCUUUUGCUGGGUCAGCGUAUCUUUAAUAUAUAUACUAUUUCUGUAAACCAAAGUCUCCUAUGACAAGUGCACCUAAUUUAUAUUUUAAUUAUGGUCUAGCUUUCUAUCAAGUAAACCAUCCACAAUCUUUGUUUAGCUGCUCAAUAUUUUAAUCAGCUAAAAUUAUGACAAAGGAAAAAUUUUAUUCAGCCAGCUUAGAAAACCCCUGUUUUUACCUAACAAAAUGAAGGUAGGGGUGAGGAGGGGGUAGGAUUACUGGAGAAAUAGUGAUUCUGAAUCUAUGGUAUAAAUUACUUUAGAACGGAAGAAUUCUGUUUUGGAGGUAAGGGAAUCCCAGUUCCCUGGGUGUUGAUCAGUGUCUGAUUUUGAAAUACCCAGAUUGAGCUUUCAAGGUGUGUGGCAUGUUGCAUGAUCCAGAAGGUAACCAAAAUUCUGGAGUAAAGGAUUGAAAAAAUCUGAAGUCAUGGGUGGCUUUUAAAAUCCAACUAUCAGAAAUCUGCACUAUAUAUAUUUUUUCUUACACAGAUGUGAAUCAAGAAGGGCAAAUUUUGAUGAGAUAGCUCCUUGGAAAUGUUGCAGCUUAAUUAUCAAGUGAAUAGGCCCUUUGUGUUCUUUCAUCUGAUGGAUUGGUUUUCAGUCUGUGUUCACGAACCAAGGGGUUCCUCUGAGGUGCCUCAGAAGUAGUGGUUUAAGAGAGAAGGGGAUGGAGGGAGAGGAGGGGCCUGGUUGGUAUUUGAGUUGGAGCCUCUAACUCCCCACUCUCAACCCCUUGUACAGGAGCAGUUCCCAAGUCCUCUCUUUUAUGUAUUGGAAUUCCAAGUAAGUUUUCCCAGAGGUGGGAGGUGGAGGCGGGCGGGGAUAAAAGAAGCAGAAAUUUUGCUGUUUAGAAAAAAAGAGUUGAGAACUGCUUGUGUAGUUUCGAAGCAUUUGAAUUUAUUUCAUUCAGCCAAAUUGGACCGCUACAUGCAAGCUAGUCGUAGUCCUGUGCGGUGGUAACGUGCUUCCACUGACCUUUUCCUUCCCAGACACCUUGUGUCUUAGUAGCACUCGAGAACAUCUUGAAAUGUACAGAAAAGGUUUCUAAACUCCAUCAGUUGUCAGCUUUCACGGUAGUACCUUAUCGGCUGCAGACUCAUCUCUUGUAUGUUAUAUUAAAGCACUAGUGCAGUGUGAUUGUGCCUACUGUUACAAUCUUCCAAAAACGAAGUCCAUGCUGAACACAUUAGAGAAGUCCUAACCAAUGGAUGCAGGAGUAAAUGCUACUAUCAUAACGUACAGUAAAGCAGGCUAGUACCAUCGCUUUUGAGUGCCUUUUUAACUUUAUAAUGAUGACUUAAUAGAGCUUUAAAAGAAAUCUACCCUAGCAGUCUAUGGUAUCACCAACAUGAUUUAUAAAGACAUGAUUUAGAUUUCAUUUUUCAAAAUUACGUUACCUGAUUACUUCCAAACAGGUGCUAAGCAAACUAAACCCCCACUGUGUCAUUAAAUCUGAGACUCGCCCCUCAUGUGUAAUGUGAAUAUUUAUUUCCACACAUCCCUCUUAGCUGGGUUUUUCUGCUCCCUGCCCCUAGUUGUGUUAUUCCAGAUAUGUGAUGUCACGUUUCCAUACAGUGCCUCUCCAUCAUGAGUGCUUAAUUAUGAACAGUGAUUACUUUGUAGAGCUCAUAUGCAGUACAGAGGUGAGUUUUGUUUUAGAGGGUCUAAUUUCUUGAUGUAAAGAAUUUUUAAAUAGUGCUGUGUAUAGUGUACAUUCUGUUUUGCACAUAGUUUGUUGCCCUGAAUGGGUUUUAUUUUUACCGAGUCUCCUUCUUCUUCUUUUUUUGGUAGCAUUUACGUUCAGAGCACAAAACUCCUUUCUUUUAAAUACAAUGUAAUUCGCUUUAUUUUACAACACUAAGUCUGCUUUGAACUUCCAGUGUGUUGAACUGGUUGCAUUGUUGGGGAUUAGAGAUUAUUUCAGUCAUCUGUACAGUUUGAUAGAGCAGCUCCUCCUGCUUCUGUUUUUAAGCGGUAGCACGCAGCCGGUGGGUGCCACACGUGGCACCUAACGUUAAGUUAGGGUGAUGAUUGUACCAAAUGCUGAGUUGUUUUGUUUCUAGAUGUAAUUAGUUCACUUCAUGUAAUAUUCUUCUUUCUCUCAAACUGACUUUAAAAACAAAGUUUUAUCAUUUUCAUUGUAUUUGUAUUUAUUACAGAGUGUUUUAGCUUUGAUAUUCUUUGUAUUUUCACUCGGUUGUUACAUGAGCUUUAUCAAUAACAUCUGUAUAAAUGGUUUUUAAAAAUUAACUAUGUAUGUGCCCAUGCCGAAGUUGAGCAAUAAAAUGAAUGCUGUUUGCACUGUCAC